rnacentral:rRNA from 1 species
UACGUAGGGUGCAAGCGUUAUCCGGAAUCACUGGGCGUAAAGCGUCUGUAGGUGGUUUAAUAAGUCAACUGUUAAAUCUUGAGGCUCAACCUCAAAAUCGCAGUCGAAACUAUUAGGCUAGAGUAUAGUAGGGGUAAAGGGAAUUUCCAGUGGAGCGGUGAAAUGCGUAGAGAUUGGAAAGAACACCGAUGGCGAAGGCACUUUACUGGGCUACUACUAACACUCAGAGACGAAAGCUAGGGUAGCAAAUGGG